UUUUAUUAUUUAGUGCCCAUUUGGACUAAAGCCUUCUGAAACUGAGUUUGGUUACACUUGUUUACAUUUGGCAGCCAAAAAUGGUCAUGAAGAAACUGUAAGACAACUUCUUAAUGUUGAAAAGAUUGUGGUUGAACAGCGAACCACAAAAAAUGGUUUAAUUCCAUUUCAUUUGGCAAUGUCAGGAGGUCAUAUUGAUGUAGCAAGUCUUCUUUUAAGUCGUUCUGCAGAGCAAAUAAAUUUCAAAUGCUUUUUAGGAAGAACAGCCCUUCAUUAUGCAGCUUCAAAUUAUCAACUCAAACUUGUACGACUUCUUAUUGCACAAGGAGCUGAUAUAAAUGAACCUGAUAAUAAUGGAAUGACACCACUUCAUUGUGCAGCUGAAGCUGGUAUUAUUGAAAAUGUUAUUUAUUUAGUUGAGAUGGGUGCUGCUCCAUUACUAUGUG
rnacentral:lncRNA from 1 species